UAUAACACCUUCAACUCCAAUAAAAUUAAAAUACAAAAUAAUACUACUUCACCAAGUAGCAUGAACAUCAAUUUAAUUAGGGUACAAACAAAUGUCCUGUCUCAAUGUCCGUUCCAUUUAACCAUAUCCCAAUAUGGAAUUUAAGUAAUCUCAUUACCCCCUUGAGAUUAUUAACCACAUCAUAUGGAAUAGGAGUAAUAGUCUCCACAAUUGCACCUUCACGC
rnacentral:lncRNA from 1 species